UACAGAGGUCCCAAGCGUUGUUCGGAUUCACUGGGCGUAAAGGGUGCGUAGGCGGUCGGGUAAGUCUGACGUGAAAUCCCUCGGCUUAACCGGGGAACUGCGUCUGAUACUGGAUGGCUUGAGGUUGGGAGAGGGAUGCGGAAUUCCAGGUGUAGCGGUGAAAUGCGUAGAUAUCUGGAGGAACACCGGUGGCGAAGGCGGCAUCCUGGACCAAUUCUGACGCUGAGUGAGCGAAAGCCAGGGGAGCAAACGGG
rnacentral:rRNA from 1 species